rnacentral:lncRNA from 1 species
UUUCUUUCUGAGUCUACUGCAGUAGUCUCCUAACUGCACUCCCAUUUCUAAUCUUAUUCCUUUCAAAGAAAAGAGUUUUUUGUUUGAAAAAAAAAUUGUGUUUGAAGUGUCUUGGUAUUGAAGCUGUCAUGUUCAGAGUUCAGCUUCAAAAUCUCACUGGAGAUUAGGUAAUAAAGGUCUGCUAAGGAGAGUGAAAGAAUUCUAGGUGGGGAAAGUGGUAAAGGACAGAGGAGACAACAAACAACAUGGUGGUGUCUGUGAUUGGAACCUAGGCUGCAAGGUGGGAGAUGGACAAAGGGAGGACCCAGUUGAGCAGGUACAGAUUAUGGAAGCUAUUGGAAGCUAUUAAUGCUGUGCUGAAGAGUUUUUAUCCACACUCUGCCAAAGUUGGCAAGCUGAAAACCUACAGAAAUGAUUUUGUAUUAUUUUGUAGUUUGCUUUGCAGUGUUUUCAAUUUCUUUGAACUUCACUAUUUCUUUUUUUUUUGUUUUUGUUUUUGGUAUGGGAAUUGAACCAGGGGCACUUUACCACUAAGGUACAUCCCCAGUUCAUUUUAUUUUUUAUUUUGAGACAGAGUCUGGCUAAAUUGCUGAGAAUCUUGCUAAGUAGAUGAGGUUGACCUUGAACUUUAUGAUCCUCCUGCCUCAGCCUUCAGCCUCUUUUUUUUUUUAAUAUCUAUUUUUUAGUUGUAGGUAGACACGAUAUCUUUAUUUCAUUUUUAUGUGGUGCUAAGGAUUGAACCCAGGGCCUCACAUGUGAUAGGCAAGCACUCUACCAUUGAGCCACAACCCCAGCCCAACCCUUAGCCUUUUGAAUUUCUGGAAUUAAUCUUUUUUUUUUUUAAUUUUUAUUUUUGAUGGUACUGGAGAUUGAACACAGUGACAUUCUACCACUGAGCUCCAUACUCCCAACUUUUUAUUUUUUAUUUUGAGACAGGGUUUCACAAAAUUGCUGAGGUUGGACUCAAACUUACCAUUUUCCUGCCUCAGCCUUUGGGAUUACAGGAGUAUGCCACAGUGGGCAGUUGAACUUGAUUAUUUCUGAAGUGGGGCAUAUAUUCUUCAAUUCUCCACAAUCCUCUUGUUCUCUGCUCGUCACUCAUUUGUUUUACCUUUUAAGCCACUGAGGCACUGAGGUAUGUAGAUAUACAACAUUUUUUUUUGUGUGUGUGUGUGUGUGUAUAUGUGUGUUACUAGGAAUUGAGGCCCAGGGCUUCUUGUAUGCUAAGCAAGUACACUGCUACUGAGCUACAUUCCCAACCCUUUUCUUAUUUUAUGUUGAGACAGGAUCUUCCUGAGGUUGACCUCAAAGUUGCAAUCCUCCUGCCUCAGCCUCCUGAGUAGGUGCAAUUACCGGCAUGCCCCACUGUGUCCAGCCAUUUGACCAAUUUUUUUUUAAACCAGUUUUCGAGUCCACAACAAUUAAAUUUUUCAUUUGGUACUAGUCACUUUGAUAUUAGAUAUGUUGAGUCUUCACUGUGUGUUCUAUGAAUGAAACUCUGAAAGCAGUUUUCUGCUGACUUGACCUGAAUAAUGACUAUAAGAAUAUAAAUGAAAAUUAUAUGUCAGCAUUUAAAAAAAAAACCCAUAAGGUUUGAACAGAAGGAAGUGAAAGGAGUGUCACCGUGGGAGCUCUGGGGAGCAUGGAUAAGAGGUGAAGAAAGAGAUAGGAUAGGAAAUUACCUUUAUUACAAUGGUUCAGAUAAGAGAUGAUAAACAUAAAGGCAAAGAACAGCAGUGGAGUUAAUGAGAUAGAAGCAACAGCAUUUGAUAUCUGCUGGAUUACUGAGGAGGAGGUAGAGAUAAGCAUAGAACACUUUCUAGGUUUAGAGACUGAGCUGAGCAGAUGGGGGUGCCAUUUGUUAUGAUGGGGACUAUGUAAGCAAGACCAUUUUAAGAAAGAUAGAUUUACUUUUGGACAUGUUGAGCUGAGGUGUCAUUGGAGCAACCAGAUGGAGAUGAUGUGGUAGGAAGAUAGAAAUCGAUGUCUAUUUCUAAUAGGAAUUUAGAAGAAAAAUCAGGGAUAGAGAUACACCUUGGAGAGUCAUCUAUUCCCAGUGCUGGUAGUUGAUAGCCUAACAGGAGAUGAGAUUACCCAAGGAGAUAAGGAUAGCAAGAUCCUAGUAAACACCAUAUUUAAUGGCUGAGCAGAAAAAGAGGAAUUAUUAAAUAGUCUUUAUUAGUUUCCCAUUUCUCCCUGUUACAAAUUACCAUAAAUGCUGGCCUAAAGCAACACAUAUUUAUUGUCUUACAGUUCUGGAAAGUCAUAAGUCCACAAUAGGACUCAUUGGGCUAAAAUCAAGGAAGUGGCAGAACUGUUUUUCUCUUGAGAGCCUAGGGAAGAAUCAUUCACCUUUCCUUUUCCAGGUUCUAAUGUCUGCCUACAUCCCUUGGCUGUGGUCCCACUUCCAACCAGCAAUGUUAUCACUCUGAUCUCUGCUUCUGUUGUCACCUCUUCUAUGACUCUUCACUCCUGCCUUCCUCUUUCACUUUUAAGGACCCCUGUGAUUACAUUGGGACCAUCCAGAUAAUCCAGGAUAAUCUCUCAUUCAAGAUCCUUAAUUUAAUCACAGUCUCUUUUAAAUACAGUCUCUUUUGCCAUGUAAGGUUCUUUUAUUUUUAAAUUUUAUUUAUUUGAGAUGGAUCUCCCUAAAUUACCUAGGCUGUCCUAAAACUCCUGGGUCCAAGUGAUCCUCCUGCCUCAGCCUUCAUGUAGCUGGGAUUACACAGGAGUGUGCCACCAUGUCCAACAUAAUUUUUGUGUUUUUAUAUGUAUACACGUAUGUGUACCCACACAUAUGACGUUUUAACAAAUAAAUGGAAUCACACUAGACAGAUUGUUCUAGUACUUCUUUUUCAUUGAAUAUAUCUUGGAAAUCUUUCCAUGCUAGUACAUAUAGAUAGAUUUCACUCUAUAUCCAAUAUCUGUACAGUAUUCCAUGAAUUUGCCAUAAUUUAUAUGGCCUUCCCUUACUGGUGGACAUUUAGAUUGUUUCCAGUAUUUCAGAGAGCACAUCAACAAAGAUCCAUCUCUGUACGU